rnacentral:rRNA from 1 species
AUUGAACGCUGGCGGCAGGCUUAACACAUGCAAGUCGAGCGGAGAUGAGGUGCUUGCACCUUAUCUUAGCGGCGGACGGGUGAGUAAUGCUUAGGAAUCUGCCAUCUAGAGGGGGACUACAUUCCGAAAGUAAUGCUAAUACCGCAUACGUACUACGGGAGAAAGUAGGGGAUGUUCGGACCUUGCGCUAAAUGAUGAGCCGAAGUCGGAUUAGGUAGUUGGUGGGGUAAAGGCCUACCAAGGCGACGAUCUGUAGCGGGUCUGAGAGGAUGAUCCGCCACACUGGGACUGAGACACGGCCCAGACUCCUACGGGAGGCAGCAGUGGGGAAUAUUGGACAAUGGGCGGAAGCCUGAUCCAGCCAUGCCGCGUGUGUGAAGAAGGCCUUUUGGUUGUAAAGCACUUUAAGCGAGGAGGAGGCUACUAGUACUAAUACUACUGGAUAGUGGACGUUACUCGCAGAAUAAGCACCGGCUAACUCUGUGCCAGCCGCCGCCGUAAGAC